rnacentral:lncRNA from 1 species
CUGGCGCGUGCGCGGCGUCGGAGCAAGCGGCCCCUUCCUUCGGCCCCGCCCAGCCCCGCCGGCCGCCCGCUCCCUGGGGAACCGAGGGAGGAAUGGGCGGGGUCCUCAGGUCCUUCCAAAGUGCCUACGGAAAGCUUUGUCCCAUCCUUGAAAAAUUGCUAAUGGGUUUGGAGAUACGAGGUGGAGAUGACUAGCAAUCAAACUCAAAGGUGGAAGUCACAUCGAGGCAGAUGAGCAGAUGAGGGGACCUAGAGAAGAAGAGAGGUGCAAGGAGAGCCCAGCCAGCAGGAACAUCUGCCCCAGUAGGCAGCACUGCCCCACAUCAGAGUCGAGGAAAGCAAAGCUCGGAUUGGAUAAAAGAAACUUGCAAACACGGUCAGUGCUUACUGCAUGUGGGCUCAGAGCACGUUACCCUCCUUCCCUGCAUGUUCCUGUGAAACGGGUUUACUGCUCUAACUCUCAGGGACACUGUGAAGACCAAACGAGAAAAUAGAAACAAACAUAAUUUAUAAACCAUAAAGUACUGACACCAAAAGAGGGGCGAGCACAGCAUUGUGAAUGUGCUGGUACUAAAUGGUUUGUUUUAAGAUGAUUUUAUGGUGUGUGAAUUUCACUUGAAUAAAUUUUUUUAAUGGAGUUCA